rnacentral:rRNA from 1 species
UACGAAGGGUGCAAGCGUUACUCGGAAUUACUGGGCGUAAAGCGUGCGUAGGUGGUUUGUUAAGUCUGAUGUGAAAGCCCUGGGCUCAACCUGGGAAUUGCAUUGGAUACUGGCAGGCUAGAGUGCGGUAGAGGAUGGCGGAAUUCCCGGUGUAGCAGUGAAAUGCGUAGAUAUCUGGAGGAACACCGGUGGCGAAGGCGGCAUCCUGGACCGACACUGACGCUGAGGAGCGAAAGCCAGGGGAGCAAACGGGG